GAUGAACGCUGGCGGCGUGCCUAAUACAUGCAAGUCGAACGAAACUUCUUUAUCACCGAGUGCUUGCACUCACCGGUAAAGAGUUGAGUGGCGAACGGGUGAGUAACACGUGGGCAACCUGCCCAAAAGAGGGGGAUAACACUUGGAAACAGGUGCUAAUACCGCAUAACCAUAGUUACCGCAUGGUAACUAUGUAAAAGGUGGCUAUACUACCGCUUUUGGAUGGGCCCGCGGCGCAUUAGCUAGUUGGUAGGGUAAAGGCUUACCAAGGCAAUGAUGCGUAGCCGAAUUGAGAGGUUGAUCGGCCACAUUGGGACUGAGACACGGCCCAAACUCCUACGGGAGGCAGCAGUAGGGAAUCUUCCACAAUGGGCGAAAGCCUGAUGGAGCAACGCCGCGUGGGUGAAGAAGGUCUUCGGAUCGUAAAACCCUGUUGUUAGAGAAGAAAGUGCGUGAGAGUAACUGUUCACGUUUCGACGGUAUCUAACCAGAAAGCCACGGCUAACUACGUG
rnacentral:rRNA from 1 species